UACGUAGGGUGCAAGCGUUGUCCGGAAUUAUUGGGCGUAAAGAGCUCGUAGGCGGUUUGUUGCGUCGGCUGUGAAAUCCCGAGGCUCAACCUCGGGUCUGCAGUCGAUACGAGCAAACUAGAGUGUUGCAGGGGAGACUGGAAUUCCUGGUGUAGCGGUGAAAUGCGCAGAUAUCAGGAGGAACACUGGUGGCGAAGGCGGGUCUCUGGGCAACAACUGACGCUGAGGAGCGAAAGCGUGGGGAGCGAACAGG
rnacentral:rRNA from 1 species